CGCCCGUCGCUCCUACCAAUUUCGAGUGAUCUGGUGAACCUCUUUGGACUGUCGAGCAAUCGCGAAAUUAGAGUGAACCUGAUCACUUAGAGGAAGGAGAAGUCGUAACAAGGUUUCC
rnacentral:rRNA from 1 species